GAGCACGCUUAGGCGUGUGACUGCGUACCUUUUGUAUAAUGGGUCAGCGACUUAUAUUCUGUAGCAAGGUUAACCGAAUAGGGGAGCCGAAGGGAAACCGAGUCUUAACUGGGCGUUAAGUUGCAGGGUAUAGACCCGAAACCCGGUGAUCUAGCCAUGGGCAGGUUGAAGGUUGGGUAACACUAACUGGAGGACCGAACCGACUAAUGUUGAAAAAUUAGCGGAUGACUUGUGGCUGGGGGUGAAAGGCCAAUCAAACCGGGAGAUAGCUGGUUCUCCCCGAAAGCU
rnacentral:rRNA from 1 species